GACGUCGAUAUUGGACGUCAUAAACACGAUCAACUUUGGUGUUUAUGACGUCGAUAUUCGACGUCAUAAACACGAUCAAUUUUGGUGUUGAUGACGUCGAUAUCCGACGCGAUAAACACCAUCAAAUUUGAUGUUUAUGACGUGGAUAUUGGACGCCAUAAACAACAUCAAAUUUGGUGUUGAUGAGGUCGAUAUUCGACGUCAUAAACACGAUCAACUUUGGUGUUUAUGGCGUCGGUAUUCGAAGUC
rnacentral:miRNA from 1 species